rnacentral:rRNA from 1 species
CCGGGAACUGGGUAUAAUACCCGAUAGAUCUCGAUUGCUGGAAUGCAUCGAGAUCGAAAGCUCCGGCGCCUAAGGAUGGGUCUGCGGCCUAUCAGGUAGUAGUGGGUGUAGCGUACCUACUAGCCUACGACGGGUACGGGUUGUGAGAGCAAGAGCCCGGAGAUGGAUUCUGAGACACGAAUCCAGGCCCUACGGGGUGCAGCAGGCGCGAAAACUUUACAAUGCUGGCAACAGCGAUAAGGGGACCUCGAGUGCCAGGUUACAAAUCUGGCUGUUGUGAUGCCUAAAAAGCAUUGCAUAGCAAGGGCCGGGCAAGACCGGUGCCAGCCGCCGCGGUAACACCGGCGGCUCGAGUGGUAACCGUUAUUAUUGGGUCUAAAGGGUCUGUAGCCGGCCGGAUAAGUCUCUUGGGAAAUCUGGCAGCUUAACUGUCAGGCUUUCAGGAGAUACUGUCUGGCUCGAGGCCGGGAGAGGUGGGAGGUACUUCAGGGGUAGGGGUGAAAUCUCGUAAUCCUUGAAGGACCACCAGUGGCGAAGGCGUCUCACCAGAACGGACCUGACGGCAAGGGACGAAAGCUAGGGGCACGAACCGGAUUAGAUACCCGGGUAGUCCUAGCCGUAAACGAUACUCGCUAGGUGUCGGCCACGGUGCGACCGUUGUCGGUGCCGUAGGGAAGCCGUGAAGCGAGCCACCUGGGAAGUACGGCCGCAAGGCUGAAACUUAAAGGAAUUGGCGGGGGAGCACCACAACGGGUGGAGCUUGCGGUUUAAUUGGAUUCAACGCCGGAAAUCUUACCGGGGA